AAACGAACUACAAUAAUUAAGGCGGUUAAGACGUUUGUGAAACUCUGCUAUUUGUUUACGAUUAGUGAGUCUGUUCACUUUAUGCCUUAUGAAGAAGCAGAUUUUUUUUAAGGAUUUUUUUGACGCCCGAAGCAUGUUCCA